ACAUAAAUAUAUACCAAUCACAUCAACAUAUAUGUUUUAUGUGUUGUGUUUUAUUGUUUUGCUGUGUAAUGUGAAUAUCUAGGAAUUCUGUGAAAUCCGGGAACUCCAAGAAUAUAUACAAGACAAAGAGUGUGGUAGCGUUAUCUUGAAUCACAUCUGGAAAAACAUCACACAGAUGCCACAUCCUGAAAGAAUUUUAGUCUGCAUCUGAAGUAAAUAAACYACGUUAUCUUUGUUAGCAGAUAUGCGUGAGGACUGUUAACUGCCUUGAUGGGUGGUCUACAGAUAAGCAGGAUACAAGCUAAAGAGAAAAGCAGCUGCUGCUGGGAAGAUCAGUCAUGCUCUGAGCAGGGACAGAAUCACCCUGGACUGCCUCCAUGCAAGAAGCACUCUGAAUUUAUUGUCUUUCUCACCACUGGGCAUGCAGAACUGAUCCUUCUGGUAUCCUGAUGGGUACGUCUACGUAUGAAUAAUGGCAAUGCUUCUUAGUGAGAAAAAGGUAAAGUGGGGACAAGGACGGGUUCCUGAACACCAGCUCACUGACAGAACACCAGGAGCUUGAAGAGGUCCCAUGUCACGGGGCUGCUGCUGCACUUGCAAAGCGGUGAGGGAACAGCAGCUGUGGGCAUGACUGCGAUGUGAGCGAUGUGAAACCUGGAAAUUUAAGAGGAGAAAACUGAUGAAGCAAACAAGCACACAAGACUUCAGUUGUUUAUUAUUGGGCUCUGAGAGCGUACAUUCAGCCGCGGCCAAGCCACUUCCCACCAAGAGGAGGAACUGCGCAUGGUGGCGCUGGCCUCAUGCUGGUCUGCGGACGCAACACAAAGCCCCAGUGUUCCCACCAUAGCACAGAGGGAAAGUGAUACGUGUCACCACAGCCCCAAACCCUCACUGAACUCCAGAAGUC